CCUCCUUUCUUCCUCCUUGCGGCAUCUUGGUCAAUGGGCGCGAGCCUGAACCAGCCAAGUAGCGUGAAGGAUGACUGACCUACGGGUUGUAAACUUCUUUUAUAAAGGACUAAAGUGAGGCACGUGUGCCUUUUUGUAUGUACUUUAUGAAUAAGGAUCGGCUAACGACGUGCCAGCAGCCGCGGUAAUACGGAGGAUCCGAGCGUUAUCCGGAUUUAUUGGGUUUAAAGGGAGCGUAGAUGGGUUGUUAAGUCAGUUGUGAAAGUUUGCGGGUCAACCGUAAAAUUGCAAUUGAUACUGGCAGUCUUGAGUACAGUUGAGGUAGGCGGAAUUCGUGGUGUAGCGGUGAAAUGCUUAGAUAUCACGAAGAACUCCGAUUGCGAAGGCAGCUUACUAAACUGCCACUGACAGUGAUGCUCGAAAGUGUGGGUAUCAAACAGGAUGAGAUACCCGUGUAGUC
rnacentral:rRNA from 1 species